rnacentral:rRNA from 1 species
GACGAACGCUGGCGGCGUGCUUAACACAUGCAAGUCGAGCGGUAAGGCCCUUUCGGGGGGUACACGAGCGGCGAACGGGUGAGUAACACGUGGGUGACCUGCCCUCAGCUCUGGGAUAAGCCUGGGAAACCGGGUCUAAUACCGGAUAUGACUCCAUGACGCAUGUUGUGGGGUGGAAAGCCUUGUGCGGCUGAGGAUGGGCCCGCGGCCUAUCAGCUUGUUGAUGGGGNGAUGGCCUACCAAGGCGACGACGGGUAGCCGGCCUGAGAGGGCGACCGGCCACACUGGGACUGAGACACGGCCCAGACUCCUACGGGAGGCAGCAGUGGGGAAUCUUGCGCAAUGGGCGAAAGCCUGACGCAGCGACGCCGCGUGA